rnacentral:rRNA from 1 species
AUUGAACGCUGGCGGCAUGCUUUACACAUGCAAGUCGAACGGUAACAGGCCGCAAGGUGCUGACGAGUGGCGAACGGGUGAGUAAUGCAUCGGAACGUGCCCAGUCGUGGGGGAUAACGCAGCGAAAGCUGCGCUAAUACCGCAUACGAUCUAUGGAUGAAAGCGGGGGACCGUAAGGCCUCGCGCGAUUGGAGCGGCCGAUGUCAGAUUAGGUAGUUGGUGGGGUGAAGGCUCACCAAGCCAACGAUCGGUAGCUGGUCUGAGAGGACGACCAGCCACACUGGGACUGAGACACGGCCCAGACUCCUACGGGAGGCAGCAGUGGGGAAUUUUGGACAAUGGGCGCAAGCCUGAUCCAGCAAUGCCGCGUGCAGGAAGAAGGCAUUCGGGUUGUAAACUGCUUUUGUACGGAACGAAACGGUCCUGGUUAAUACCCGGGGCUAAUGACGGUACCGUAAGAAUAAGCACCGGCUAACUACGUGCCAGCAGCCGCGGUAAUAC